AUACGUAGGGGGCAAGCGUUGUCCGGAAUGAUUGGGCGUAAAGGGCGCGUAGGCGGCCAUGUAAGUCCGACGUGAAAGUCCUGUUUUUAAGGUGGGAAUUGCGUUGGAAACUGUAUGGCUUGAGUGCAGGAGAGGUAAGUGGAAUUCCCGGUGUAGCGGUGAAAUGCGUAGAGAUCGGGAGGAACACCAGUGGCGAAGGCGACUUACUGGACUGUAACUGACGCUGAGGCGCGAAAGUGUGGGGAGCAAACAGGAUUAGAUACCCUGGUAGUCCACACUGUAAACGAUGAAUGCUAGGUGUAGGGGGUAUCGACCCCUUCUGUGCCGGAGUCAACACAAUAAGCAUUCCGCCUGGGGAGUACGGCCGCAAGGUUGAA
rnacentral:rRNA from 1 species